AAUUAAUGAGCGGGGCCGGGGGAGGCACCUGCCGCCGGGCCGGGCCGCCACCUGCCGCCGGGAGCCCUUACCGAAGCGGCUGUGGUCCUGCCGGGUGCCGUGCACCGUGCCGUUGGGGAAGAUCUCCAGGUGGAAGCCGGUGCGGCAGUAGAGCUGGCGCCGCCGCAGGAUGCCCUUGAGGCCCGGGCAAUGCUCUGUUGUGAGGACGUGAAGAAAGUUGUGAUAUUACGACAUGGAGUAUCCACACGUGCAUCUGCAGCGGAACUAAAACUGGAAUGCAUUAGUAUGUGAGGUGGGGUCAGGAAGUCUGUGCUGGAAGUUAUUCUAGAACUGGUGAAUCAGUUAACUAAAUACAGCAUAACACACCUGCUGUCAGGAAAAGAGCCAGGUACUUCACAAAGUUGACUCGAGUAACGUUGCAUUGUAUGAGACUUCCGAGAUCCAGCAGCCAGCUGCCCUGCAAGUCACAGUGCUUCCUCGCUAUGUGUCUGUGAAGAAUGGAAUUAACUGGCUAUGAAAACCACUGUAAAGACACAUUUUUGAUAAAUUCUGCUAGUGGCCAAUGGAUAGGAAGAAGCUAUCUAAGGGAGCCCAGACUUGCUUGCAUCUGAUGGACACCCUUUGAAAUGUGCAUUAACUUUCUUCAGGAUGAGAAGUGUUUCUUUUCAGGACAGCCACUUGAGUUUUGUAAUGUGAGUUUCAUUCAAAUGUCAUGUGAAAUCAGGAGUUAAUAGGAUCCAGUUUUUAUAGCAUUGUCCUUACACAACUGCACUAUAUAGUAAUCGCAGAUUGAGUUUCAUGCAGGAUCCCAAAAUGUUUAUUUUACAGCAUCCUUCGCUGUUUGUAUAGCAUUGCUGUGGCCUUUCUCCAGAUGGGAACAUGUGGGAAAGCAAAAAGCAGGUGGCUCGCUCAAGGACGUGAGAAUCUAUCUUUAGUGGAGUUAACUGGUGCCUUGCUAGCACUUGUGUUAGCUUUGCUUUGGUCUGAGCAGUCACCUGGGCUGUGUUGCAUUCCCUUUGCGAGCUGCUAGCACUCCUUAAGACCGUAUUUUGCAGGAAAGCUGUCCUAAGAACGUGUUGGGCCCUGAGGAACAAGCACAGGCAACUCUCUCAUGUCUCUUAUUUGUGCUGAGGAAAGAUAAGCCUUGCUUAUGCUUUCUUUCUCGGUUGAUUAUGAUAAGAUUUAUCUGCCUCAAGUAUGGGAGGUGGGGAAGGCACGGUCUAAACCCUUCCUGAGAACUGGUUCCAACACCAGCCAAAAUCAAAGCUUCCUUUUGGUGUAGGGAGCUGGUAUUUCUGCUCCCGGGUUGGUAUAGCUCUGUCUGAAGCAUCGUGAGCCUCAGAGUUUUGCUUCUGGAUGUGCAGCAGAAUUCAGGUUGACACCAAGAGACCAUGUUGACUGUAGUGAGGACAGAAACACAGAGCUGGGCAGAACUGAGCAUAGACCCAGAAGUCUGGCUUCUCUGGCCUCUGCUUUAAUAGCAUGGGUAGUUACGGCCUUGGUAAAAUGAGGGAAGGAAGACGAGGAGUAUCUUCUCAUGCAAUAGUCUAAAAAUAUUGAGAUAUACCAUUGCUGAGGUUUUCUAAAAGAUUAGAAACUUUUCAGAUAACUCCUUCGGCAAUAAACAUGUCAAAAUUUGGAAAAUUAAAAUAAUCUGCUUCUCAGGCACAAUGCAAAAAUAAAUAAAUGAAAAAUUACAGCUUCUUUUGUAAACAAACCAGAAACCUUAAGGCCAGUUUUUUUUUGUUGCUGGAUAAGAACACAGCAGCUACUAACUUCAAUAGUUCAGCUUAGGCUUGGUAGAAGGAAAUGAUAGGUCUCAAGUAUAAGCUACCUCACAGGAAGAUUGUAAUGAAAUCCAGCCAGCUUCAAGAGAAAAACAAAAAAUAUUGAUUUUAUUCUGAGGAAAGAAUGAGAAAAAGAACAGAUGUAUGGAGUCUUCUGUCCACUUACUGCAGUCUGCAGUGCUGACUUAGAAACAGGCAAUGGGUUAGACUUUUCUUCUUGUGCUUCCUCCUGUAGAAAUGCCCUGGGUUAGACACUGAAACGAUUUGCUUUGGGAUAGUACAGGGGAGGGAGAACAAGGACCUCACGCAAGAACUGACCUAAGCUCUGGGAAGGUCUGUAUAAUCUAAUUUACAAUAAAAUGGUAUUUACAACGUUAUCAGACAAA